UACAGAGGUCUCAAGCGUUGUUCGGAUUCAUUGGGCGUAAAGGGUGCGUAGGUGGCGCUGUAAGUCGGGUGUGAAAUUUCGGAGCUUAACUCCGAAACUGCAUUCGAUACUGCCGUGCUUGAGGACUGGAGAGGAGACUGGAAUUUACGGUGUAGCGGUGAAAUGCGUAGAUAUCGUAAGGAAGACCAGUGGCGAAGGCGGGUCUCUGGACAGUUCCUGACGCUGAGGCACGAAGCCAGGGAGCGAAACGGG
rnacentral:rRNA from 1 species